UUUUUUACACGGACGAAUACGAAAUCAAAAAAAAACCAAAGAAAUCUAAGCAAAAAAAAAGGAUAUUCGAAAGGUGAUUUUAGAGUUUUUUUUUCUUUUUUCUUCUCUGGAUGUUCUUUUCUGUUUCUUUAUUCAUCAAUCAUAUGCUAAAAAUAAAAAAACAGGAAAAAGAAGAGUUAGAGGAUAAGGAAUUUACCUGGUGGCCGAGUCUUUGUUUGCUUCGUCGUAAUCGGAGUCGAGCGAAGGUUGGGAGGCCAUAGAUUGGCCUGUUUGCUGAGCGGCGCAUGGCUAGGGUUAGCCCUUUGUUUUCAAAAGUAGUCAUUAGGUUUUUUUUAUUUAUGUUUUUUUAGUUUAUAAGUGCUGAGCAACGGCACCGUUUGGGAUCUGGGUCAAUGGUUUCAAAACGGUGUCGUGUUGGCCUUGACCUGUGCGGUGACCCAACCCAGGGGAAAGAUUCGCGUGUUUUUGCUUCAGUGGGAUAUUUGUGCAAAUGGUCCUCCUGCUUUUAUAGCGCAUCCGGAUCGAUUCUUUCGUUUCUUUUAAAUUUGGCCUAACAUUUAUUUUUGCUUCAUUUUAGUCCAUAUCGUAGUGUUACGUUUUGGGAGGAUGGGGCAUAUUUCCCAAUUAGUCCCCCACGUUAUUCGCGCUCUGCAUUUUUGCCCUUCAAUUUUAUUUUAUUUUCGUUUUUUUAUUUUUGAUUUUGUUUUAAAACCAAUUUAAUCCUUAUUAGCUUGAUUUAAUUUGCU
rnacentral:lncRNA from 1 species